rnacentral:misc_RNA from 1 species
UCCGGUUUGGCACCGGCAGUCUCCGAUGAGUCCCCGGCUUUACCCGCUGGCAACAUCGGACAGGGGUUGCGCUCGUUGCGCCACUUAAGGCAACACCUCACGGCACGAGCUGACGACAGCCAUGCAGCACCUGUGCGGGCCCCCGAAGGAGGACCGUGUUUCCACGGCUUCACCCCGCAUGUCAAGCCCUGGUAAGGUUCUUCGCGUUGCGUCGAAUUAAGCCACAUGCUCCGCCGCUUGUGCGGGCCCCCGUCAAUUCCUUUGAGUUUCAGCCUUGCGGCCGUACUCCCCAGGCGGGGCACUUCAUGCGUUAGCUUCGGCACAGAGAGGGUUGAAGGCCUCCCCACACCUAGCACCCAACGUUUACGGCUGGGACUAC